GGGCUCCGGGCGGCCGUGACCCUGCUGGAGUGCGGGGGGGACCUCCAGACCCCCGGGGGGUCCCUGCGCCUCCUCUGCCCAGGGUCCGGGUUCAGUUUCGGGAGCUACGACAUGAACUGGAUCCGCCAGAGACCCGGGCAGGGCCUGGAGUGGCUUGCAGGGAUCAGCUGGGAUGGUUCCGGCACCUUCUACGCGCCAUCAGUCAAGGGCCAGUCCAGGAUCUCCAGGGACAACGGGCAGAGCUCGGUGACGCUGACCAUGAACAACCUCAAGGACGAGGAUUCCGGAUCCUAUUUCUGUGCCAAAAGUGCUUAUGCUGGUUAUUUGCACGACGCCAACCAUGGAGCCAAACCCCCAAACUGGUUCUGCCCUAAAUCCAACUAA